AAGUCAAGCAUUUCAUGGCUGGCUAGAUUUAUUUGUCAAUCAUCAAAUAUUAGAUCCGUGAAAUGCCUUGCCAACCAGUUGAGAUUUAAAGAACCGCCCAACCACUUAAUAAUAUAUUGCUCAGUACAUAAUGUACCUUUACAUAUGCCCAUAGAAUUAAGUGUCAAACAGCACUUCAGCCCGUCAUUGUGGCUUGGAAAUGGCAUGUGAGAAAGGAUCGAGCCCGACGUGAAAUACGACAACGAACAUAAAGUCUUACCCGACCCGUCUGAGCUGCCAGAUUUGUGGGAAUGACCCCCACAUGAACUGGGAACCCGGGACCCGUGAUGAUUUCCAGACUCCUCCAUAUUAUAUUCCUCAGAUAAAGCUGAUGAUUGUUUAUAUUUACAUGUUUAAUGAUUAAAGUAAUAAACACAUUCUCAAGACCA